rnacentral:rRNA from 1 species
AGAGUUUGAUCAUGGCUCAGAACGAACGCUGGCGGCAGGCUUAACACAUGCAAGUCGAACGGUUGUAGCAAUACAGCAGUGGCAGACGGGUGAGUAACACGUGGGAACCUUCCUAGGGGUACGGAACAACUCAGGGAAACUUGAGCUAAUACCGUAUACGUCCGUGAGGAGAAAGAUUUAUCGCCCUUAGACGGGCCCGCGUCGGAUUAGCUAGUUGGUGGGGUAACGGCCUACCAAGGCGACGAUCCGUAGCUGAUCUUAGAGGAUGAUCAGCCACACUGGGACUGAGACACGGCCCAGACUCCUACGGGAGGCAGCAGUGGGGAAUCUUGGACAAUGGGCGCAAGCCUGAUCCAGCCAUGCCGCGUGAGUGAAGAAGGUCUUCGAAUUGUAAAGCUCUUUUGCCAGGGACGAUAAUGACGGUACCUGGAGAAUAAGCCCCGGCAAACUUCGUG